rnacentral:rRNA from 1 species
GAGAUUCCCUUAGUAGCGGCGAGCGAACAGGGAGGAGCCCAGCAUUCAGUCGGACGUGACCGUAAGUGUCGCGCGUCUUAAACGGUGCGGACCUCGGUCGGCCGGGCGUGCGAUGGCUGCGGACCGUUUGGCGCAUUUCCUUCCGUUCGAACUACGCUGCGACCGGUCUGGUCACUGAAAGUUGUCUGUCUUUGAAAGCGGGCACCGGAAGGUGGCCGGCGGCGCGCUCUUUCGGGAGUGUGCUGCCGGUGUUUUAGCCGGCUCGUUUCACGAGUGAGCGAUCGCCAGACCGGGGACGAUUCUAGCCCUGUGCGGGCUACGCCGAGCACUUUCGCUUUAUGCGGGAGCGAUGCGACGGGACAGGUAUUGUCGCUUGGUCGGCCGUUUCACCUUUGUGUGGGCGGCUGCCGGCGAUUUCCGCUGGUGUUCGUUCGCACUCGCCGUUGCUCAGGUGGUCAGCAGCGAGUAGGUCGGUAACCCACCCGACCCGUCUUGAAACACGGACCAAGGAGUCUAACAUGUGCGCAAGUCAUUGGGUCUUGAUUAGGCCCAAAGGCGUAAUGAAAGU